rnacentral:snRNA from 1 species
GGAUCUGAGGGGGGUCUGGCUGCGACAUCUGUCACCCCACUGAUCACCAGGGUUGAUUUGGCUGAUCUGGCCGGCUAGGCGGGUGUCCCCUUCCGCCCUCACUGCUCUAUGUGCGUCCCUCCCAAAGCUGCGUGCUCGGUUGAAGAGGACGGCCUUUCCGAAAAGAGCGGGAUGAGUCUUCGGUCGAGGAUAUAGAGGAUCUGCGCUCCCUGCUAGAACCUCCAAACAAGCUCUCAAUGUGGGGUUGCCCUGGAGUCUGCUCACUCAGCACUGCAGAGAACUUAGUGUCU